rnacentral:rRNA from 1 species
UACGAAGGGGGCUAGCGUUGCUCGGAAUUACUGGGCGUAAAGCGCUCGUAGGCGGCUUUCUAAGUCGGGGGUGAAAUCCUGGAGCUCAACUCCAGAACUGCCUUCGAUACUGGAGAGCUUGAGUCCGGGAGAGGUGAGUGGAACUGCGAGUGUAGAGGUGAAAUUCGUAGAUAUUCGCAAGAACACCAGUGGCGAAGGCGGCUCACUGGCCCGGUACUGACGCUGAGGUGCGAAAGCGUGGGGAGCAAACAGG